rnacentral:rRNA from 1 species
CCUACGGGAGGCAGCAGUGAGGAAUAAGCCACGGAUAACUACGUGCCAGCAGCCGCGGUAAUACGUAGGUGGCAAGGGUUAUCCGGAUUUACUGGGUGUAAAGGGCGUGUAGGCGGGGACGCAAGUCAGAUGUGAAAACCAUGGGCUCAACCUGUGGCCGGCAUUUGAAACUGUGUUUCUUGAGUACUGGAGAGGCAGACGGAAUUCCUAGUGUAGCGGUGAAAUGCGUAGAUAUUAGGAGGAACACCAGUGGCGAAGGCGGUCUGCUGGACAGCAACUGACGCUGAGGCGCGAAAGCGUGGGGAGCAAACAGGAUUAGAUACCCUAGUAGUC